AAGUCGUAACAAGGUUUCCGUAGGUGAACCUGCGGAAGGAUCAUUAUUGAAUUGAAAUAGAUUGAGAUUGUAGCUGGCUUCUGUUAAUGAAGUAAUGUGCACAUCUCAUUUUGUUAUCCAAACUUUGUACCUCUGUGCACAUCGCAUGAGUUUGAGUUGUUAUUUAAAAAUAUGACAUAACGUAUCUCAGCUCAUGUGCUUUUAAUAUACACCUGUUUGUUUGAAGAAUGUUGUUAUUUUGUGCUUUAAUUGCAUGUAUAAAUAUAACUUUCAGCAACGGAUCUCUUGGCUCUC
rnacentral:misc_RNA from 1 species